rnacentral:misc_RNA from 1 species
GAUGAAGAACGUAGCGAAAUGCGAUAAGUAGUGUGAAUUGCAGAAUUCAGUGAAUCAUCGAAUCUUUGAACGCACAUUGCGCCCUUUGGUAUUCCUUAGGGCAUGCCUGUUCGAGCGUCAUUUAAACCUUCAAGCUCAGCUUGGUGUUGGGUGACUGUCCGCUUCACCGCGGACUCGCCUCAAAAUUAUUGGCGGCCGGUACAUUGGCUUCGAGCGCAGCAGAAACGCGAACUCGGGCCCGUCGUAUUGGCUCCCAGAAGCUAUCUUCACAAUUUUGACCUCGGAUCAGGUAGGGAUACCCGCUGAACUUAAGCAUAUCAAUACGGAGGA